rnacentral:rRNA from 1 species
UACGGGGGGAGCAAACGUUGUUCGGAAUCACUGGGCGUAAAGGGAGCGUAGGCGGCCAUGUAAGUAAGGUGUUAAAUCCCCCGGCUCAACCGGGGACCUGCACCUCAUACUGCACGGCUUGAGUACAUCAGAGGAGACUGGAAUUCCCGGUGUGGCGGUGAAAUGCGUAGAUAUCGGGAGGAACACCAGUGGCGAAGGCGAGUCUCUGGGAUGAUACUGACGCUGAUGCUCGAAAGCGAGGGGAGCAAACGGG